GUAGCUGUAGGAAGCAGCGUGCAGCCAGAGCUGUAGCGCUGCCUGCUGGACGGUUUAAGCAUCUCUUUUUCGUCUCUUUCAACACAGUUUUGUUGUUGUAAAUAACAAUACGUUUUUUAUACAUAGAUCGUUAUCUAUACACUAAUUAACUACCUGUAAUUACUAAUAACCCAAUUACAUAUCCGUUAUACACUGUUUAUAAAGAGUACCUUAAUAUAAAAUCGUACUCAUUUUAAACUGGCCAAUAUAGGCAUACUGUGAUAUAAUUUAGACCAGCAGUAGAGAGUGCACUGUAUCCUAUCCUAUGACAGCAACAAACAAAAAAAACGAUCAGCACAUCAUCCCUUGAAGAGGUAGGCUAGAUAACCAGUUCUACCGAGUAAAUAAUUGUGUUUUGUGAAUCCAUUUGUGUUAUAUGACAAUGGAAAGACUUGUGGAGGAAACUUUCUAGCCUACUAUGAGAUAAAAUAUGUAGGGCAGGCCACAUGUCAUAUGAGGAAUGUUGGUGAUGCUGAUCCUAUUGUUUCUUGUUACCGACCUGAGGUCACAUGACUAGAACAUAGUUGUACUCACACAACCUAUCACACUCUUGUAUAAGAUAGGAUCACUUUUGACAGGAUUAUAGACAAUUUGCUACACAGUAUGAGGAACUUGUUGCACUUUGUGUUUGUUUGAGUUGCUUGCUGUACAGCCUGACGAUGUGGAUCACUAUACCUAUUGUGAGAGUUGCUUGACUACAGCCCAAGAAAUUGAGAGCAGAAGAAAGACACAGCAGAGUCCAGACGGGAUGUUAUUGAGAAGCUAGUCAGUGGUGCUGUGUACCAAGAUUUAGAUGCUAAAAUCCCCACUGAACACAUUUUAAUGUAACUAUGUUCAACUGUACCAACUCUGUUUAUUUAAUCUCCAAAAUUCUCUUAGAAUAAAGAUAUUUCUCAAUAUCAUGUUGUUUUAUGUUAUUGUAAUUUCUGCCAUACUAACUGACAAUGCAAUCAUUUGUAGGUUCACCCACUAAUGCAAUAUAUUGAUAAAGGAUGUGACAACUAUUAUCUUAAUGGUAUCAAGUGUUCAGCCAUCUGCCCUUUUCCAGAAACAUCCAUAUUGCGUUUCUCUCUGUCUCAUACAAAAUCCAUAUCUGAAUAAGCUAAGAAUUAACACAGUUGGAUUGAAGUAUAUGAAUUUGAAUGGGAUAUUAUUGAUUAUGCAUUAUACACUAUUUCAAAUUUGCUUUCAUUUGUAAAUUACAUUGUCAAAUCACUCAAUUUGAAUGUGAGUCAUGUAAUACUUUUACAGAUUCAAGAGAUAAUUAUGAUGACUGAAUAAUGAUUUAUUUCAGAAAUUCUGACAUAAAUAAAGAUGUAGUAUAUUUAAUUCAACUGCUAAUAAUAGUAGGUACAUUUCAUAUUCACAAAUGCAAAUGGUCUAAUUCAAAAACCUAACUUUUUUCACUUUAUAAAUGAGUUUAAACAAUAUGGCACUACUUACAUUAUUUUUUUUUAAGGCAUUUAAAAAUUGUAUUAUUAAUUAAUAUGAUUUGUUUGUUUAGGAUUCCUGGCAACGUAAAUAGUUUGUUUGUAUGCUUGUUUUCAUGUGACUAUUCC